ensembl:lncRNA
GGGGGGCGGCCGCGAAAUGGCCGAGGACGCCGCGCAGGGAACAGAGUGGGGAUGCGGGACACGAGAGGAAGCGGGGGGGCCGGGGCGGCCCCGCGGCGAAAGCCGCUCGUACAGCCCUGCCCCCCCCCCCGCUCCUUCCUCCUUCCUCACCCCCCCCACCCUUUCCCUCCCUCCCGCUUCCCCCCGGCCCGGGCGGGGUGUGGGUGUCCGCGGGGACGGUGGACAUUUUGCGAGUCGCGGCUGCCCCCGGUGCGGUGGCGGCCUUGGGGUGUGUGAGACUGCGCGUGUGCUCGUGUGUGCGGGGGGGCGGUGUGCGGUGCCGGUGUGUGUAUGUGUGUGUGCAGUGUGUGUAUGUGUGUGCGAUGUGUGUGUGUGUGAGCGUGGGGGCUCCGGUGUAUGUAUGUGUGUAUGUCUGCGUGCGUGUGUGCGGUGCCGGUGCAUGUGUGCGGGGGGUGCGGUGCCGGCUGUGUGCGUGGGUUGCCGUGCCGUGUGUGUGCGAGUGCGGGCGGGGGUGCGGUGCCGGUGCGGUGCCGUGUGUGUGUGUCUGUGUCUGUGUGUGUCUGUGCGUGCGCGGCCGGCGCGGCGCGGUGCGGGGGGGCCGUGCGGGGCUCGUACGCCGGGCGGACCCGGCGGGGCGCAGCGCGGGGCCGGUCGCCGGCAGGGCCGGUCGCCGCCACCGCACGGCGUAUGUAGUACGGGGCUGGGCGGCUGCCGGAGGGUGAAUGAAGCGAGGAGGAGGCGGCGGCGGCGGGGGAGGCGGCGCUGCCGCUGGGAUGUGCCCGGCAGCAGCCCCGCUUCGCUUCACUCAGGGCCCAGGCCGGCUGCAGACGCCACCCGUCACAUUGCAGGCCAAGCCAGAUGGGCAAGCAAUACAAGCUGUGAAUUUAUUCUUGACCCCGUAGGACAGUGACCACCAUCAUUUUUUUCUUCACCCUACAGUUAUGCACUGCCAAUAAGAUCCUGGAGCACAGGGAAAGAGUUUUAAUGCAAAAUACCAGAAAAAAAAGUCUGCAACAUCUCCUGUGAGCGGGGGGAGAAAAGGAGAUUAACAAUUGCAUCUUGAAACACGCAUGAUUUGAG